rnacentral:rRNA from 1 species
CAGCCGCCGCGGGAAUACAGAGGGUGCGAGCGUUAAUCGGAUUUACUGGGCGUAAAGCGUGCGUAGGCGGCUUUUUAAGUCGGAUGUGAAACCCCUGAGCUUAACUUAGGAAUUGCAUUCGAUACUGGGAAGCUAGAGUAAGGGAGAGGAUGGUAGAAUUCCAGGUGUAGCGGUGAAAUGCGUAGAGAUCUGGAGGAAUACCGAUGGCGAAGGCAGCCAUCUGGCCUAAUACUGACGCUGAGGUACGAAAGCAUGGGGAGCAAACAGGAUUAGAUACCCCGGUAGUCCCUGUCUCUUAUAC